UGGCACAGUGGUUAAGCACUCGGCUGCUAACUGAAAGGUUGGUGGUUCGAAUCCACC
rnacentral:tRNA from 1 species